rnacentral:lncRNA from 1 species
AUGUGGCUAAUUGGAAGCACGGCAGCGGCUACGGCAAGUGCCGCCCGGCGCUGCGGAGGCCGAGCGCGGCCGCGGAGGCUUUGUCACACGCUGCUCGUGGACCACGUGGGCCGCGGGCACGGAAACAUGUGCCCGGGCUGGACGGAGGAUGCGCAGGAGGGAGUCUCCGCUCCUCGGGAAGCGUUCAAGCUCGCGCCCCAGGGCCGCCGCCAGCCGAGCGAGCGGCACCGCUUGUCGGCCAGCCCCCGCGCUCUCGGUUCAGCUUUGCAGCGGGAUCGUUUUGAUUCCCAUUCAGUUCGCAAAUGCAGCCGGCCGGGCAGAGGCAAAUCUGAUCAUCAGUGCAAAAAGCAGGCUGCUCGGAUUUCAGCUGCCAGCUGGGAUAUGGAUAAGGGAUGGGCGCAGAGGCCUCGCGCCCAGGCGUUGCAGCGCACGGGCCGGUGCUGCUGGACAGAGCCAUCCCCAGCGCUGCCACCGCAGCCAGCUCGCUGCAGGAAGGGGCACGGCACACGGGACAUGGGACAUGGGGCACGGGAUGCAGGAUGCAGGACACUGAACAUGGGAUGCGGGACACAGGACAUGGCACAUGGCACAUGGCACAUGGCACACGGCACACGGGACGUGGAACACGGGACAGGGUGCAGGCAUGCCCAUCUGGGCAGCUGCCUCCGCAGUGAGUCAUUGCUGCUGGCAGGGGAGGCCACAAAAGGAUUUACAGAAAGAAUCAGGCACGGACGUAAAAACUCUUCCCUCAUUCCUGCAGUGCCAUCUUCUCCAGGAGGGAGGCAGCUCUCCGGUCCCGUAUCCGUGUGCUCAGCUGCAGAUCCCAGCCGCCAGCCAGGUCCAGCUGCGGAGCCGGUGGGGCCGUGCGGUCAGGUGCUCGCGGAGCCGCCUGCCCCCGGGAAGGGAGCGUUCCCGCAGGGGCAGGGGAGGCAGCCGUGCGCAAGGCUGCGGACGAGGGCUUGCGUGUGGCCGGGCGAGAGGCGCCGGAGGCGGCGCGCGGGCGCCCGGUCCCGUCCAGCCGCGGCAAGGGGCUGCGGCGGGCGCAAGAGCGAGGGCGGCUGGGCUCGCAGCGCGAGGAGGCUCCUCGCCCCGGGUCUUCUGCAGAGCGCGGCCAGAACCUGCCCCUUCCCACCGAGCGGAGCGAAAGCUGCAGGCCGUCACCGACCCGCGCUCGGCAUCCGCCAGAGGCUGAGAACCCGGCGCGGCCACGCACUAAAAAUUCGAAGCAUCCCAAUCCAAUAA